AUUCCCUCAAGGAUCUGGAUAUAGGAAUGCCCAGGGAUGGGGCGUCAGGGAUCCCUGUUCACACAGGAUGGGAGUAUUCCUCCAAAUACCAGGAAUUCCACCACCUUUCCCUUUUUUCUGUCCCACAUGUGAUACAUCCUAAUUCUUCCCAACUGAUUCUCUUUUCCAGACUCGAUUCCUUUAAUCUUCAGAUUCUUCUUUAUUUUGCUUUUUUUUCUCCAAAAUCAGAUUUUUUCUCCCUCAGCCCCCCCUUUUUUUUUUCACCAGAAAAGGCUCAGAACCCUCAUUAGUGCAUCCACAGGCUCUGUGUUGGUGCUUAAAAUCUGUCCCAGUACAGGAAAAUUCCUGCCUUUUCCCCCUCAGGUUUCCCGCCCUUUUUCCCCCCCUCACGUUUCCCGCCCUUUUUCCCCCUCAGUGCUCCCAGUGUCCCCUGCCUGGCACUCAGUAACCCUCAGUGCCACCCAGUUUCUUCCAAUGAUUCCCCAGGAGCAUCUCCCACCUCCUUCCCAGCCCUUUUUUCCACCACAAGGACAUUCCCAACAACACAACUCAACCUGGCCACGGGACCAUCUCCGCUUCCAAAAACAAUUCCCAAUCCUGUGCUGACCACGACCAGGUGGGCGCUGAAGGCGGCGCAGGAGUUCUGGGCCCUGCCCCAGCUCUGGGGAAUCUCCGAGAAGAGGUGGAAUUAAACCCCAAAGUUCCGAAUCUGAGGCAAAACUAAAUCCUGAAAUUUAUGGGAUGAAGUUUUCCGGGAAUGCGGGGCCGUUCUGGGGCCAAACCCCGAUUUUUUGGGAUCCACC